GGAGGGGGUCUCUUGACAGGGACAUCUGUUGCCCGGCCACAGCAGUGCGGAUGCCUCCAAUCGGGCUGGUUGGGCAGAUGUCCCCGCCCCCGCUCCAUGAGGGCACGUUCCAAAGCCACACGCUCCAGGAGGGCAACCUCUGCUGAUGGCCAUGACGUGUCCUCAGUCAAGGGUAUAUGAGGA
rnacentral:snRNA from 1 species